rnacentral:rRNA from 1 species
UACGUAGGUGGCGAGCGUUAUCCGGAUUUACUGGGUGUAAAGGGCGUGUAGGCGGGAUUGCAAGUCAGAUGUGAAAACUAUGUGCUCAACCCAUAGCCUGCAUUUGAAACUGUAGUUCUUGAGUGCUGGAGAGGCAAUCGGAAUUCCGUGUGUAGCGGUGAAAUGCGUAGAUAUACGGAGGAACACCAGUGGCGAAGGCGGAUUGCUGGACAGUAACUGACGCUGAGGCGCGAAGGCGUGGGGAGCAAACAGG